AAAUUGUGAUACGGGCAUUGAAUCGGAUAAACCUUAAAUCUUCCCCAAGCAUCAUAAAAAGAUUCUCCUUCUUUCUCAGUGAAAUUACAAAUCCUUGGCCUAUAACC
rfam:Ricinus communis cultivar Hale ctg_1100012298151, whole genome shotgun sequence.